AAAGAGCCCUACAUUGAAGGAGAAGCUGCUCCAUCAUGGUCCCGAGUCAUGUGCGGGUGGUCGCGAGGCUGCACGUGAAGCGUUGACAGAGGGAAACGCAGGCCAACUAUUAAGUUCCGAAAUCACCCAUCCGGGGUGGCGACCCAGUGGUCUGAAGGGGAAGGCAACACGUUGUGGCAACGGUAAACAGCGAGUCAUACAACGGCCACGCGGAGUAUAAUAACC
rfam:Desulfobacterium autotrophicum HRM2, complete genome.